rnacentral:rRNA from 1 species
CCUACGGGAGGCAGCAGUGAGGAAUAUUUGUCAAUGGACGAGAGUCUGAACCAGCCAAGUAGCGUGAAGGAUGACUGCCCUAUGGGUUGUCACCUUCUUUUAUAUUGGAAUAAAAUGUUCCACGUGUGGGAUUUUGUAUGUACCCUAUGACUAAGGAUCGGCUAACUCCGUGCCAGCAGCCGCGGUAAUACGGAGGAUCCGAGCGUUAUCCGGAUUUAUUGGGUUUAAAGGUCGCGUAGGUGGAUUGUUAAGUCAGUUGUGAAAGUUUGCGGCUCGACCGUAAAAUUGCAGUUGAAACUGGCAGGCUUGAGUACAGUAGAGGUGGGCGGAAUUCGUGGUGUAGCGGUGAAAUGCUUAGAUAUCACGAAGAACUCCGAUUGCGAAGGCAGCUCACUGGACUGCAACUGACACUGAGGCUCGAAAGUGUGGGUAGCAAACAGGAUUAGAUACCCGAGUAGUC